rnacentral:rRNA from 1 species
UACAGAGGGUGCGAGCGUUAAUCGGAAUUACUGGGCGUAAAGCGUGCGUAGACGGCUAUCUAAGUCGGGGUGUGAAAGCCCCGGGCUCAACCUGGGAAUUGCAUUCGAGACUGAAUAGCUAGGGUACGGUAGAGGGAAGUGGAAUUUCCGGUGUAGCGGUGAAAUGCGUAGAUAUCGGAAGGAACAUCAGUGGCGAAAGCGACUCCUGGACCAGU